rnacentral:lncRNA from 1 species
UGAGUAGUCUAAUAUUGUUCCGGUUUUGGUUCUUGUGAAUAUUGGCAUCGAUUCUCUCGAAAUUUACCCUCUCGGGGCAUAAUAGAACAAUAUAAUUAGGUUUUACACUUUGUUCGAUUGAUUGAGAAAAAGUACUCGUCGCAAUGUUUUACUGUUAGGGCGCAAUUGAGUAGUGCAAUGUUGUUCCGAUUUUAUUUCUUGUGAACGUUGACAUCGAUUCGUUCCAACUUUACACUCUCGGGGCAUAAUAGAACAAUAUAAUUUUGUUUUGCACUUUGUUCGGUUAAAUGAGAAAAUGUACUCUUUGCAAAGUUAUACUGUUAGAGCGCAACUGAGUAGCAUAAUAUUGGCAUCGAUUCGUUCCAAAUUUACCCUCUCGGGGCAUAAUAGAACAAUAAAAAUUGGUUUUGCACGUUGUUCGGUUGAAUGUGAAAAAGUACUCAUUGCAAAGUUAUACUGUUAGGGCGCAACUGAGUAGUCUAAUGUUGUUCCGCUUUUGGUUCUUGUGAACUUUGCCAUCGAUUCGUUCGAAAUUUACACUCUCGGGGUAUAAUAGAAUAAUAUAAUUUAGUUUUACACUUUGUUCGGUUGAGUGAGAAAAACUGCUCGUUGCAAAGUUAUACUGUUCGGGCACAACUGAGUUGUCUAAUGUUGUAANUUUUUUUUUUUUUGGCCUUUUGGGCGACAGGGUGAGGCCGUGAGGGCAGUGAGGCAGAGCGGGUUUUGGGCGAGGCAAACCGGAUUCUGGGCCGAUUUUUUGGACCAAAUUAUUUGCGAAUCCCGUUUAAUUCGCGAAUAAUUUUUUUUACCCAAAAAAAGUAAAUUUUUCUAAAUUUUUGGAAAAAAUACGAAAACGAGAGUUUUAUUCGGUAUUUCAAAAAUUUGCAAAUAAUUCGCGAGUAAUAGGUAGUCAACUGGCUCGUCAUAUGUCCAAGAAGUAAAACUAUUUAUUUGUUCAUCAAUCUCGUGGCUCACUCAAGGAUUCGCCCACUAUUUACAUUGCUAUCUUGACACGUAGGGAGACUAGACUCAAACUAUGAAUCCGAGACCGUCUGCGGGACCCCACAUAGGCCAUCCCUGGGGACCCCAAAUAGGCCAUCCCUAUCCCACAAUGUCACGCCCUGGGACCGGCGGAGGCCCUCCCGAUAACGCGCCCAAACCCGCCAUAUGUCUACACAUAUAAGGCGUCUACAAUAAAAGCAGAAGUAAAGCAAGAGAUAGAAUAAAUAGAAUGAAUAGCAACUAAUGAUAUCAGAGCAAGUAAAGUUCUAUCAUCUAAAUCAGAGUAAAAGAAACAUAUCUAAACAAUAAAAGUAACCAUAAGUAAUACAAUAUCUGUCUUAAAGGUACACAAAAGGGGGGUCUCUAAUACACUGGUACAGCUCUCAACCUCUUCAAAAAGAAAUACAUCGAGAGGUAGACCACCUAAACUCGUCACUCGUUGAAGGGCUAAUUCGAAGCAGCGCCCUUCCCACGGUCCCUAACCUCUCCCGGCGUGGAAGGCUCUGAAAGAAAUCAUGAAACAGAGGGCGUGAGAACUAUAAUUUAUAGUUCCCAGUGGGCAAUUACUAACCUCAGCUCAAUGCACCACUAGGCCCCAAAAGGAAAGAGUAAGUCGAAAGCAAUAGUAAUAACGAGUAAUUUGCAUUUAUGAAAGUAUAAUGAAAAUGCUAAACUACUACUUGCAAUUAAACAUGACAUUUAUGUAAUGCACAAUUAUCGUGUCAUGAAGGAUAUGUCUCUACUUAGCCAUAAAUAAUGUCAUGGUUUGCUUAAUGAAAUUAUGAGGAUUAUCCUUUAUCAUAGCAACAUUGUAUAUAUGAAUGCAAAUAAGCAAUGUCUCCUAGCAUACUACAUGUAUGUUUGUAUACCCAAAUGUCCAAAUUUCUGCUAGAAGCAAGUCCGAGUAAUCCAACUACUACUCUCUAUCUAGUAAUGAUUAUAACAUACUCAUCCCGUGUCGAUUUUCAUUUCCAAUUAAGGACCUACCCAAGGUAGUCCAGCUUGUGCCGCCUAAGUGCCUGUGGUAGCCCAACAUCCCUACUCUUGGAAUGUGUCUGUCCCACUCGACCCCGUAGGCUUCUCAAUACCGCACGAGCGAACAUAGUCGCGUAGGCUGACUCCGGAGUGCCGGCUUGUAGGGAGCGACCCUCACAAGCAUGUGCGAAUGAGCACAAAUGGCAAACAAGCAAGGUCAAUGUCUCAAAUAUCCAAUCAUCAUGUCUCUAACAUGGCAAUAAUCACUAGCAUCUCGAAGAUCUAGUUCUAUGUCACAAUGUGAAAUUCUCAUAUUUACUAAGUCUAGUGCCCCUUUAUGACACUUAGACAUUUCGAUGUACAAGCAUGUUCCAAUUCUCUCAAUGGCACUAUCCACUAGGUUCGCACAUGACCGAGCUCAAUGCCCCUUUAUGACAUUAGCCCAAUUAUUCAUAAGUAGUACAAGUCCCCAAGCCUCUUUAUGGCUUACUAAGGUUCUGAUGUCACGAUUAGGCAUAAAGGUUAAAUGCAUAAUAGCAAUGUCCAAUUUCAUAAUUGGAAUCAUAGUUCCAAAUCUCAACUAGGAUGCUAUAUCUCACAUGCAUGCACUCUACCACAUAGAGGUCCAAAAAUUUAUUAUACAUUACAUAUGCAUGUUAAGCAUUGAAAAAUUCAUAAUAAAUGAAUCUAACAUGAUUAUGCAUGCUUUUGCAUUUUACAAUACUUAAAACAUCAACAAUGAGAUUUUCUCAUUGUGUGGCUAGGUCAAACCCACCGAACCGUCGCGUGCUCCUUCGAUUCGCCGAACGGGAUUGUCCACGAGUCUCAAAAUACCCUAAAAGUAUUGAGCGAAGAGAUACACGGGUAUUACGAUCAACUAUAAGAUCAAACUUUAACAAACUUAGCAAAAGGGCUAAAACUCACCUAAUGUGUAGGAAAUCUCUCUCAAGCUCCAAAAGGGAGCUAAAUCCCUUCCAAUCCAAGCCCAAGGAAGGUUCUAAUCCAAACAAUCUAGCUCCAAAAGCCCUAGAUUUAAAAUGCCCAAAAUCAAACCCUAAGUUCCAAAUCUAAGGUUUCAUCUCAAGAAAGCUCUAAAAUUUAAAACUAGAGAAAAGGAUCUUGCCACUUACCUCUUAGAAGCUUCAAAACAAGCUCAAAGUCCACAAACUUCUAGGAUCUUCCCUCCACCAAGCUCCAAACCCAAGUUUCCAAGCUUCAUCCAUGGUGGAAAAGGCACCAAAGGGCAAAAGAGAAGAAAAAUCCAUCAAAAACCAUGCAAAUUGGUGAUCAAAUCCAAAGAGGCAACAGAGGACUGCUCUUACCUUGUCUCCCUAUGCUCUCAGCUCAGAAAAAUGCCCUAGGGGCGUGGGGGGUUCUAAUAGAAGAGCUACAAAAGCAAAAACAUCCCUUCAGAUCAAACUGUGCGAAAUCAGUCCCCUUGUACCGGUACACAGGCUCUUGUACCGGUACAAGAGCCACGAAAAUGCCAACCCGAGGCUCGGAUCGCGGGGUUCAGCAGCUCUGUACCGGUACAAGCCAGUGGCUGUACCGGUACAACCAUCAACCUUGUACCGGUACAGCCAUCAGCCCUGUACCGGUACAAGCCCGGCAGAAUGCAAUCCGAGAGUCAGCCAAAUCCCGUUUUUUCGGAUUUUGGUGCAAGGCUUUAAAGCACAAUUCUCGGGACACGUGCCAUAGGUCGGAACACAGUCAACGACCCACCAGAAAAUAUGGAAAAGCUCAGAACACACCCAAAAUACUCGAACCUCGCAAUUUGCAAAGGUCCAGUGUGUUACAUUCACCCCUCCUAAAAAGGAGUUUCGUUUGCGAAACUCCAAAAGUAAAGAUACCUCAAGCCUCCAUCUGAAAAAGAUGGGGAUAGCGCUCUCGCAGCGCGCUCUGCAACUCCCAAGUGGCCUCGCGCUCGUCGUGGUUGCUCCAAAGCACCUUCACGUAGGGAAUCUCACGGUUCCGCAGUCUUUUUACCUCACGAGCCAAAAUCCUCAAAGGUUGCUCUUCAAAGCUCAAGUUAUCCCGUAGCUCCAAAGGUGUAGCAUCCAACACGUGAGCCGGGUCGUGGAUGUACUUCCGAAGGACCGAUACAUGGAAUACAUUGUGUACACCUGAUAGGUUCGGCGGUAGAGCAAGUCUAUACGCUACCGGGCCUACACGCUCCAAAACCUCAAACGGUCCAAUGAAUCGGGGGCUCAACUUGCCUCGGAUUCCAAAUCGUCUAAUCCCUCGAGUCGGCGAGACUUUCAAGAAGACGUGAUCUCCAAUCUGAAACUCCAAGUCUCGUCGCUGCCUGUCAGCAUAGCUCCUCUGCCUACUCUGGGCUGUCAACAGUCGCUCCGGAGCAAUGCGAACCUUGUCAUCUGCUUCCUGGAGCACAUCAGGCCUUAAAGCCAAUCUCUCGCCAACUUCACUCCAAUGAAGUGGCGAUCUACACUUCCGUUCAUAGAGUGCCUCGAACGGUGCCAUCUUGAUGCUUGAUUGAUAACUGUUGUUAUAAGCAAACUUUGCCAUCGGUAGAUGCUGCGACCAUCCUCCCUAGAAGUCAAUCACGCAAGCUCGAAGCAUGUCCUCGAGAGUCUGUAUAGUACGUUCCGACUGCCCAUCACUCUGAGGGUGGAAAGCUGUACUGAAGUCCAAGCGCGUAUCCAGAGCGUCCUGUAAGCUCCUCCAAAAGUGUGAUACAAAACGGGGGUCUCAAUCCGAUACUAUAGAAGUAGGUACCCCGUGCAGUCGCACAAUCUCAUCCAAAUAAACCUGUGCGAGCCUCUCACCAGUCCAAGUAGUGUGGAUAGGUAUGAAAUGUGCCGAUUUCGUCAAUCUAUCCACAAUCACCCAAAUAGCGUCAUGCCCGGCCUGUGAGCGAGGCAAUCCCAUCACGAAAUCCAUAGUGAUCUUUUUCCAUUUCCACACUGGAAUUGGUAGACUCUGCAACUUCCCUGCAGGAACUCGGUACUCAGCCUUCACCUGUUGGCAAGUUAAACAUCUAGCAACAAACUCACCAACAUCUUUUUUCAUUCCGGGCCACCAGUAAACCAACUUCAAGUCCUUGUACAUCUUGGUGUCUCCCGGAUGUAUAGCAUACGGUGCUCGGUGGGCUUCUUGAAGAAUAUCCUCUUUAAUGCCCAAGUCCGCCGAUACACAAAGUCGUCCGCGGAAACGCAUCAGUCCAUCACCGUCAGAAGUGAAGUCACCGGUGCAACCAUCAACCAUCUUAGCUCGAAUCUUUUGUAACUCCGAGUCGGAAGCUUGCUUUUCUUUAAUCUUUUCCAAAAGUGUAGGUUGCACCACCAAAGUCAUCAGUCUCAAAGGUGUAUCAGGAGCCACCACCUCCAACUCCAACCGCUUCAUCUGCUUGAUCAACGGCGGUUGAGUAACCACAAGCAUCGUUAAGUUUUCCGUCGAUUUCCUACUUAGCGCAUCAGCCACCACGUUAGCCUUGCCCGGGUGGUAAAGUAUCGUCAAAUCAUAAUCCUUGAGUAGCUCCAACCAUCUGCGCUACCUCAAGUUCAACUCCUUCUGAGUGAAUAGAUACUUUAAGCUUUUGUGAUCCGUAUAUACUUCGCAUCGCUCGCCGUAUAAGUAGUGGCACCAUAGUUUCAAUGCAAAGAUCACGGCCGCCAACUCUAAGUCGUGAGUAGGGUAAUUCCUUUCAUAAUCCUUCAGUUGGCGAGAUGCAUACGCGAUCACUUUCCCGUCCUGCAUCAAAACACAUGCCAAUCCAUUAAAAGAAGCAUCACUAUAAAUCACAUACCCUACUCCUGCAGUCGACAAGGUAAAGAUCGGGGCGGUCGUCAAUCUCUGUUUUAGCUCUUGAAAGCUCCUUUCGCACGCAUCAUUCCAAAUAAAUUUGGUGCCCUUAUGCGUGAGUCUCGUGAGGGGAGUAGAUAACUUUGCAAAUCCCUCAACAAACCGUCGGUAGUAGCUGGCCAAACCAAUGAAGCUCCGUAUCUCGGUCACACUCGUCGGCCUCGGCCAAUCCUUGAUAGCUUCAAUUUUUCUCGGGUCCACGGCUAUGCCUGAUCCAGAAAUCAAAUGGCCCAAAAACGCCACAUCUCUAAGCCAAAAUUCACACUUUUUCAACUUGGCAUAGAGCUUCUUUUCCCGAAGCAGUUGAAGUACAAGUCUCAAGUGUUCAUCGUGAUCCGCAUCACUUCGGGAGUAGACCAAAAUGUCGUCGAUGAACACCACGACAAACCUGUCUAAAUAAGGCUUGAAAACACGGUUCAUUAGAUCCAUAAAAGUUGCCGGGGCAUUAGUAAGCCCAAACGGUAUAACAGUAAACUCAUAGUGUCCAUACUGUGUUCUAAAAGCCGUCUUUGACACAUCCUCAGGUCUGAUCCUCAACUGGUGAUAUCCCGACUACAAGUCAAUCUUGGAAUAUACACAAGAUCCCUGGAGCUGAUCAAAUAGAUCGUCGAUCCUCGGCAAUGGAUACUUGUUCUUGAUCGUGACUUUAUUAAGUUCACGAUAGUCCACACAUAAGCGCAGUGAUCCAUCCUUCUUCUUCACAAAUAAAAUCGGUGCUCCCCAAGGUGACACACUCGGUCGCACAAAAUCCUUGUUCAAAAGAUCAUGUAACUGUGCCUUCAGCUCCUUCAAUUCUGCUGGUGCCAUCCUAUAGGGUGCCUUUGAGAUCGGGGUAGUUCCGGAGACGAGAUCUACCACAAACUCAAUCUCCCUAUCAGGAGGCAUCCCUGGAAUCUCCGCUGGAAACACAUCUGUAAACUCCCGCACUACGAGGAUAUCCUCAAUCCUAGGGGCGUCCGCAUUGCCCCGCAACACGACAGUAGCCAAAUAGGCUACGCAGCCUCUACUAAUCAACUGCCUAGCUCGAGAGGAGCUAAUCGUCAUCGCAAACAGCGAACUUUGGCUUUGGUACAGCUAACCUCCGCCUGCCCUGGCUCUCUAAAAGUCACCUUCGAUCCUUACAAUCGAUUAGUGGCAAAAUACUUAGUGAACCAAUCCAUGCCCAACACAACAUCAAUCCCCGAGUUUAUGCAGGCAAUAGCAAGUCUAUGGGCUGAUGCAAUCUCCAAACCAAUAGGCACUGGGGCAAAUUCCCGACGUCCAAGGAAUGAUCGGUCAAACAACUCGUCCCGGUGCAACAAGAGAUACAAGUGGUGAUGCAUGCAGAUCGGCGAACAGCCGAUCAAUGAAUGAAUGCGAGCCGCAGUAUCAAAUAAUGCUCUAACUCGAUAUGCAUGAAGUAAAAUGAUCUACUGCGACCACAUUCUCGGCGUCGCCGCCUCCUCAGUCCUGGCCCGUACAAGCGCCCGCUCGGGCCUGUCGCUGACCCUCGACCUGUAGCCUGACAGUGGGCGAUUCCGCGUGGUGAUGCGAGAAGAUGUCUAACUGGAUCCGCGAUGCUGGUCAGAUCCGAAUGCGCGCUGAGCAAUGGCUGGUCGGGCAGUCCGACUGGAAGUGAGCCCUCCUGGCCCAACAGCAACACGCCCGGUGCCAGUUGAACAGCUGUCGGGUAAUGCAUUAAAGGAAAUGCCUCCAAAGAGUCGAGAUGUUCGACGUGCCGCCAUCAGAUCACGCGACAGGGGAGUACCUACCGUCGGCUCCUCACUGCGCUGAAGAUAGACUGGCACGUCUCACGGACUGUGCGGCUUGAGCUCGGCGCUUCCAGUGAUGCGUUGGCUCGCACCUCACGGGCGCUCUUGCCUCCAUAGUCAACUCUGCAAACGCCCUGCCCUUUCCGCUUCUCCUGAUGCAAUCCGCCGCUCCUGCUCCACUAUCAAAUCGAUCCCACAACCUCCGAUAGUCUGAGCUUGGAAAUAUCGUAAAGAAUUACAUGAUCUCGUUCCAACUUGCACACUUCGGGGCAUAAAAAACAAUAAAUUGUUUUAUCAUUUGUUUCUUGAAUUGAAAAAAGUACUCGUACAAAGUUAAACUGUUAGGCGCGCAACUGGGUAGUCUAAUUACUUAGCAGAUAUUUUGUUCUUGUGAACGUUGACACCGAUUUGUUCGAAAUUUACCAUCUCGGGGCAUAAUAGAACAAUAUAAUUUGGUUUUACACUUUGUUCGGUUGAAUGAGAAAAAGUACUCGUUGCAAAGUUAUACUGUUAGCGCUCAACUGAGUAGUCUAAUGUUGUUCCGGUUUUGCUUCUUGUGAAUAUUGACAUCGAUUCGUUCGAAAUUUACCCUCUCGGGGCAAAAUAGAAAUAAUAUAAUUAGGGUUUCCACUUUGUUCGAUUGAAUGAGAAAAAGUACUCGUUGCAAAGUUAUACUGUUAGGGCGCAAUUGAGUAGUCUAAUGUUGUUUCGAUUUUUGUUCUUGUGAACGUUGACAUCGAUUCGUUCCAACUUGACACUUUCGGGGCAUAAUAAAAUAAUAUAAUUUGGUUUUGCACUUUGUUCGGUUAAAUGAGAAAAUGUACUCGUUGCAAAGUUAUACUGUUAGGGCGCAACUGAGUAGUCUAAUGUUGUUCCGAUUUUGGUUCCUGUGAACGUUGACAUCGAUUCGUUCCAACUUGACACUCUCGGGGCAUAAUAAAACAAUAUAAUUUGAUUUUGCACUCUGUUCGGUUAAAUGAGAAAAUAUACUCGUUGCAAAGUUAUACUAUUAUGGCGCAACUGAGUAGUCUAAUGUUGUUCCGGUUUUGGUUCUUGUGAACGUUGACAUCGAUUUGUUCGAAAUUUACAUUCUCGGGGCAUAAUAGAAUAAUAUAAUUUGGUUUUGCACUUUGUUCGGUUAAAUGAGAAAAUGUACUCGUUGCAAAGUUAUACUGUUAGAGCGCAACUGAGUAGUCUAAUGUUGUUCCGGUUUUGGUUCUUGUGAACGUUGACAUCGAUUCGUUUCAACUUGACACUCUCGGGGCAUAAUAAAAUAAUAAAAUUUGGUUUUCCACUUUGUUCGGUUGAAUGUGAAAAAGUACUCGUUGCAAAGUUAUACUGUUAGGGCGCAACUAAGUAGUCUAAUGUUCAUCCCGUUUUUGUUCUUGUGAACGUUGACAUCGAUUUCUUCGAAAUUUACCAUCUCGGGGCAUAAUAGAACAAUAUAAUUUGGUUUUGCACUUUGUUCGGUUAAAUGAGAAAAUGUACUCGUUGCAAAGUUAUACUGUUAGGGCGCAACUGAGUAGUCUAAUGUUCUUCCGGUUUUGGUUCUUGUGAACGUUGACAUCGAUUCGUUCGAAAUUUACAUUCUCGGGGCAUAAUAGAACAAUAUAAUUUGGUUUUGCACUUUGUUCGGUUAAAUGAGAAAAAAUGUACUCGUUGCAAAGUUAUACUGUUAGAGCGCAACUGGUUGGUCAAAUAUUGUUCCGAUUUUGGUUCUUUUGAACGUUGACAUCGAUUCGUUCCAACUUGACACUCUCGGGGCAUAAUAAAAUAAUAAAAUUUAAUUUUGCACUUUGUUCGGUUGAAUGUGAAAAAGUACUCGUUGCAAAGUUAUACUGUUAGGGCGCAACUGAGUAGUCUAAUGUUCUUCCGAUUUUUGUUCCUGUGAACGUUGACAUCGAUUCGUUACAACUUGACACUCUCGGGGCAUAAUAGAACUAUAUAAUAUGGUUUUAUACUUUGUUCGGAUGAAUGUGAAAAAGUACUCGUUGCAAAGUUAAACUGUUAGGGCGGAACUGAGUAGUCUAAUGUUGUUCCGGUUUUUGUUCUUGUGAACGUUUACAUCGAUUUGUUCGAAAUUUACCCUCGCGGGGCAUAAUAAAAUAAUAUAAUUAGGGUUUCCACUUUGUUCGAUUGAAUGAGAAAAAGUACUCGUUGCAAAGUUAUACUGUUAGGGCGCAAUUGAGUAAUCUAAUGUUGUUCCAGUUUUGGUUCGUGUGAACGUUGACAUCGAUUCGUUCCAACUUCACACUCUCGGGGCAUAAUAGAACAAUAUAAUUUGGUCUCGCACUUUGUUCGGUUAAAUGAGAAAAUGUACUCGUUGCAAAGUUAUACUGUUAGGGCGCAACUGAGUAGUCUAAUGUUGUUCCGGUUUUGGUUCCUGUGAACGUUGACAUCGAUUCGUUCCAACUUAACACUCUCGGGGCAUAAUAAAAUAAUAAAAUUUAAUUUUGCACUUUGUUCGGUUGAAUGUGAAAAAGUACUCGUUGCAAAGUUAUACUGUUAGGGCGCAACUGAGUAGUCUAAUGUUGUUCCGGCUUUGGUUUUUGUGAACGUUGACAUCGAUUUGUUCGAAAUUUACCCUCUCGGGGCAUAAUAGAACAAUAUAAUUUGGUUUUCACUUUGUUCGGUUGAAAGAGAAAAAGUACUCGUUGCAAAGUUAUACUGUUAGGGCUCAACUGAGUAGUCUAAUGUUGUUCCUGUUUUGGUUCU